UACGGGGGGGGCAAGCGUUGUUCGGAAUUACUGGGCGUAAAGGGCUCGUAGGUGGCCAACUAAGUCAGACGUGAAAUCCCUCGGCUUAACCGGGGAACUGCGUCUGAUACUGGAUGGCUUGAGUUUGGGAGAGGGACGCGGAAUUCCAGGUGUAGCGGUGAAAUGCGUAGAUAUCGGGAGGAACACCUGUGGCGAAAGCGGCUCACUGGACCAUAACUGACGCUGAGGCACGAAAGCUAGGGGAGCAAACAGG
rnacentral:rRNA from 1 species